AAACGGCGGGUAGGACGGCUUUGACUGCUAUCUCUUACCCAUGUCUUUUGAGUACCUUACGUUUCCUCGGCGGGUCCGCCCGCCGAUUGGACAAUUUAAACCAUUUGCAGUUGCAAUCAGCGUCUGAAAAAACUUAAUAGUUACAACUUUCAACAACGGAUCUCUUGGUUCUGGCAUCGAUGAAGAACGCAGCGAAAUGCGAUAAGUAGUGUGAAUUGCAGAAUUCAGUGAAUCAUCGAAUCUUUGAACGCACAUUGCGCCCCUUGGUAUUCCAUGGGGCAUGCCUGUUCGAGCGUCAUUUGUACCUUCAAGCUCUGCUUGGUGUUGGGUGUUUGUCUCGCCUCUGCGUGUAGACUCGCCUCAAAACAAUUGGCAGCCGGCGUAUUGAUUUCGGAGCGCAGUACAUCUCGCGCUUUGCACUCAUAACGACGACGUCCAAAAGUACAUUUUUACACUCUUGACCUCGGAUCAGGUAGGGAUACCCGCUGAACUUAAG
rnacentral:rRNA from 1 species